UGGGGAAUAUUGGACAAUGGAGGCAACUCUGAUCCAGCAAUUCUGUGUGUGUGAAGAAGGUUUUAGGACUGUAAAACACUUUUAGUAGGGAAGAAAGAAAUGACGGUACCUACAGAAGAAGCGACGGCUAAAUACGUGCCAGCAGCCGCGGUAAUACGUAUGUCGCGAGCGUUAUCCGGAAUUAUUGGGCUUAAAGGGCAUCUAGGCGGUUAAACAAGUUGAAGGUGAAAACCUGUGGCUCAACCAUAGGCUUGCCUACAAAACUGUAUAACUAGAGUACUGGGAAGGUGGGUGGAACUACACGAGUAGAGGUGAAAAUCGUAGAUAUGUGUAGGAAUGCCGAUGAUGAAGAUAACUCACUGGACAGCAACUGACGCUGAAGUGCGAAAGCUAGGGGAGCAAACAGG
rnacentral:rRNA from 1 species